AGAUCAGCGGGCCAGCCAGAGGACUGGGAGUGGAAACGGAGCAGUUCAGGUGGCUGGCUUUGUUUCUUGUGGAGGAGAUGGAGCUCCUGGCGAAGGAUUAGCAGGAAGCCAGUGUCGACAAGGACUUAACCAACAAGGAGACCGAAUUUUUCCAGAGGCUUUGCUGGCGGCCGGUAUUUUAAUAGAAGACAAGAGCCUUCAGGGUGCUAGGCUGCCAGAGGAGACGAGGCACUCUUGGAUGGGAUGGAAUCAGGUGACUGUGGCAGGACACUCAGAAACAGAAUCUACUGAAGAAUCUGGCGGCUCAGGCAGAGCAGCAGUCACUGGUGGGGACCCGAUAGCAGGCCCUGGAUAGAUACAGAUGUAAAAGCAGGCUAUGGCUGGGCCCUGCUUUGGCAGACGUGGGCAGAGUAACUGGUACUGGGGAAUGGUAAGUUAUCUGAAAAACCUCAUCCACAGAAACCUUAUGUGGAAUGUGCAACACAUUUUUCUGCAGGUCAUAUCUGCUAUCCUUCUCUGGUUGUCAGUAUCUGCAUCAAAGCUACUUUAUCUCCUUCAUUCAUUAUUUACUUGUGUACCAGACUCAAUCUGAGCUGUGUUUUGAUGUCAUGUGGGUCCUUUUUUCCAAUUCUCUUUUGUCUUUGUAGACUUAUUUUCCUCCAUUCUUCUGUGCAGAGAUAUUUUUGCCCGUAAGGACUUUCUCUUACCCAAGAGUGUGUAUUUCAAUUUUUUUCAUUUUUCUUGAUUUUUUUUUAAAUCUAGUGGGUUUGUAAAUAAAGCAACCCAAAAGUACACUUUACCAAAAUGACACCGUAAAUCUCAUGUCUCUAUGUCCUCAGCUGACUCUACAUUAUGCCAGUUUACCAUACACUAUUGCAUAAAUUAUGCCCAGCAUGUCUCCAAAAAGUUGAUUCUGUUCAUCUGGACGUAGCAUUUUGUGGGAGAAACGUUUUGUCACUCAUCCAAGUGGCUUCUUCAGUCUCACUGACUGCAGGUUUCCCCAAUCUUAUAAGCAGUACAUUUGCAUAAUGACUGAAACCAGCCCACUGAAGGAACAAUUGGCUGGGAGGUCAGUUCCUUAAUCUUAAUUAUGCAAAUUCUCAUGACCAUUGACCAACAACCACUGACCAAAACCCACUGAUCAAAGACCACUGAUCAAUGGCCAUGAGUACCAAGAUAUGCCCAGAAUGCAUACUUGCUAUUUUGGUAUUCACAGUAGACUAAGUUUUUUGUUUUGUUUUGUUUUUUUGUCUUCAGGUGGAAUUUGAAAAAGUAUCUGUAGGAAGACAGCUUAUAUGUGAGGUCAUUCAUAGAAAUCUCACCAGCAUGAUAUAGAUUCAAGAGACUCUUGCAAUGUGGUCAGAGGUACAAAGUGCGCAUUUGUAGAUGUUCAGUGUUCCGAUGUUCAUUGUAUGACCACAGAUAUUGAUCACACAUUGUUAAUGAGGCUCUACAGUUCCAGUUCUAAAGAAUUCAAGCCCAGUAGAAAUGUAAUUUUCUGAGGAAAGCUUUUAUAAACCUCAUUUUGGGGUAAAUUUAUUAAACACUUUCUGUUGUUUUGUUUGGUUUACUUAUUUGCAAUUUUACAUCCCCGUGCCCACUGAAAUUAAAAUUAUGGAAAACUCACUUUUAUUUAUAACUAGAUUGUAAAAAUAACUGCAAGAAAUGUCAGGAGGGCAUAGCUGAGAGGGCUGGAGUGACAAAACAUGCUUCUAGAGGGAUUCUAGGAAUAUAAAUAUUAUCAUACUCUACCUCUCUCUGGCUGGGGGAUCUUGCUGAAGGACCCUCAGAGGACUCAGUCUUAACCUGAAGGAGCUCACAUCAAAGACAGACCUGAUUGGCAACAAACAGCUUUGAUCACAUGCUUCAUCCUAUCCCAGAUGAUGCCAGCUGCUACCUGUGUGUGUGUGUGUGUG
ensembl:lncRNA